GACGAACGCUGGCGGCGUGCCUAAUACAUGCAAGUUGAGCGAUGAAGAUUGGUGCUUGCACCAAUUUGGAGAGCAGCGAACGGGUGAGUAACGCGUGGGGAAUCUGCCUUUGAGCGGGGGACAACAUUUGGAAACGAAUGCUAAUACCGCAUAACAACUUUAAACAUAAGUUUUAAGUUUGAAAGAUGCAAUUGCAUCACUCAAAGAUGAUCCCGCGUUGUAUUAGCUAGUUGGUGAGGUAAAGGCUCACCAAGGCGAUGAUACAUAGCCGACCUGAGAGGGUGAUCGGCCACAUUGGGACUGAGACGCGGCCCAAACUCCUACGGGAGGCAGCAGUAGGGAAUCUUCGGCAAUGGACGAAAGUCUGACCGAGCAACGCCGCGUGAGUGAAGAAGGUUUUCGGAUCGUAAAACUCUGUUGGUAGAGAAGAACGGUGGUGAGAGUGGAAAGCUCAUCAAGUGACGGUAACUACCCAGAAAGGGACGGCUAACUACGUG
rnacentral:rRNA from 1 species